CAGUCCCCAGAAGCCUGUGGCUCUGAUGUGCCCACAGUGCCUGAAAUGAGGAAAAGGGACACGGUUGUCAAAGUCCUGAUAGUCGAGCCUGAAGGAAUUAAGAAGGAGCACACCUUCAGUUCAUUCUUCUGUGCAUCAGAUGCUGUGCUAUCAGAAAACUUGUCCCUGGUGCUCCCACCGACAGUAGUGACCGAUUCAG